ensembl:misc_RNA 7SK 7SK RNA
CGAUGUGAGGGCCAUCUGCCUGUGACACCCGUCACGACACUGAUCUCCAGCCUUGAGUCAGUCCAUGUGCCUGCCCAAGCCCAGAUCCCCUUCCUCACCCAGCGCUCCAUAUGCAUCCCUCCCAAAGUUGCUGGGGCACAGAGGACGACCUCCCCGAUACAGACUGUACAUUUUAUCACUCAAGGCUAUUUGAUAGCUGCGCUCCCUGCUACAACUGCCCAACCAUCCCAAACUCCAUUCCUAGGAGGGCUUUCCCGGUAGUCAGACAUAAAUUUUUAUGCAAUACAGGACUGAAACAGUGUCCCAUAAAAU